rnacentral:rRNA from 1 species
AACGAACGUUAGCGGCGCGCUUAACACAUGCAAGUCGAGCGAGAAGGGAGCAAUCCCAGUAAAGCGGCGCACGGGUGAGUAACACGUAGGUAAUCUACCUCGAGGUGGUGGAUAACCUUCCGAAAGGAGGGCUAAUACAGCAUGAGACCACGUUCUCGAAAGAGGAUGAGGUAAAAGCGGGCCUCUAUACAUAAGCUCGCGCCACGAGAUGAGCCUGCGGCCCAUCAUGGUAGUUGGUAGGGUAACGGCCUACCAAGCCGAAGACGGGUAGCUGGUCUGAGAGGGUGAUCAGCCACACUGGAACUGAGACACGGUCCAGACUCCUACGGGAGGCAGCAGCGGGGAAUCUUGCGCAAUGGGCGAAAGCCUGACGCAGCGACGCCGCGUGAGUGAUGAAGGCCUUCGGGUUGUAAAGCUCUGUGGAGGGGGACGAAUAAGGGUUGGCUAACAUCCAGCUCGAUGACGGUACCCCUUUAGCAAGCACCGGCUAACUCUGUGCCAGCCGCCGCCGUAAUAC